rnacentral:rRNA from 1 species
UACAGAGGUCUCAAGCGUUGUUCGGAUUCAUUGGGCGUAAAGGGUGUGUAGGUGGCGCCGUAAGUGGGGUGUGAAAUCUCGGGGCUUAACUCCGAAACUGCAUUCCAUACUGCGGUGCUUGAGGACUGGAGAGGAGACUGGAAUUCAUGGUGUAGCAGUGAAAUGCGUAGAGAUCAUGAGGAAGACCAGUGGCGAAGGCGGGUCUCUGGGCCGAUACUGACGCUGAGGAGCGAAAGCGUGGGGAGCAAACAGG